GCAUCUAUACUGUGAAACUGCGAAUGGCUCAUUAAAUCAGUUAUCGUUUAUUUGAUAGUACCUUACUACUUGGAUAACCGUGGUAAUUCUAGAGCUAAUACAUGCUAAAAACCCCGACUUCUGGAGGGGUGUAUUUAUUAGAUAAAAAACCAAUGCCCUUCGGGGCUCCUUGGUGAUUCAUAAUAACUUAACGAAUCGCAUGGCCUUGUGCCGGCGAUGGUUCAUUCAAAUUUCUGCCCUAUCAACUUUCGAUGGUUAGGUCUUGGCUAACCAUGGUUUCAACGGGUAACGGGGAAUUAGGGUUCUAUUCCGGAGAGUGAGCCUGAGAAACGGCUAACACAUCCAAGGAAGGCAGCAGGCGCGCAAAUUACCCAAUCCCGACACGGGGAGGUAGUGACAAUAAAUACUGAUCCAGGGCUCUUUUGGGUCUUGGAAUUGGAAUGAGUACAAUUUAAAUCCCUUAACGAGGAACAAUUGGAGGGCAAGUCUGGUGCCAGCAGCCGCGGUAAUUCCAGCUCCAAUAGCGUAUAUUAAAGUUGUUGCAGUUAAAAAGCUCGUAGUUGAACCUUGGGUCUGGCUGGUUGGUCCGCCUCACCGCGUGUACUGAUCCGGCCGGACCUUUCCUUCUGGGGAACUGCAUGCCCUUCACUGGGUGUGUCAGGGAUCCAGGACUUUUACUUUGAAAAAAUUAGAGUGUUCAAAGCAGGCCUAUGCUCGAAUACAUUAGCAUGGAAUAAUAGAAUAGGACGUGUGGUUCUAUUUUGUUGGUUUCUAGGACCGCCGUAAUGAUUAAUAGGGAUAGUCGGGGGCAUCAGUAUUCAAUUGUCAGAGGUGAAAUUCUUGGAUUUAUUGAAGACUAACUACUGCGAAAGCAUUUGCCAAGGAUGUUUUCAUUAAUCAGUGAACGAAAGUUAGGGGAUCGAAGACGAUCAGAUACCGUCGUAGUCUUAACCAUAAACUAUGCCGACUAGGGAUCGGGCGAUGUUACUUUUUUGACUCGCUCGGCACCUUACGAGAAAUCAAAGUCUUUGG
rnacentral:rRNA from 1 species